rnacentral:lncRNA from 1 species
AUAAGACGUAGAGCUGAUUAUUUCAUUCUCCUGCGCAACAGCGCUCGAUGGCUCUCCGCUGCCUACACAAUGGAGCCCACUCUCCUUAGCACAGGGUCCGCCAUGAUGAGGCCCCAAAUUGACCUCUUUGGCCACAGCUCUGUCCAAAAACCCAAAGAUUCAGACAGCACAUGACGGCGCAACUCACUGUCCCCACACCAAGCACGCCUGCCUCUUUUUUUCUCCCAUUUCUUUCUUUCUUUUCCCCUUAUCCAAUCUUCCUCAUUCUUCAGUGAGAAACUGCUCAAAUGACAUUUCUUCUGUGGAGGUGCCAUAAUCCUCCAGGUUGGAAUUAAUCACCCAAUUUUCUUCUCUUCCAAAGCAUAGCUCUAAUACCAGCAUUAUAACGUUUAUUUCUUCCAGGUUUGUGGUUUAGGUAAUGGGGUGGGGAGAUUAUUAUCUAACAGCUGACACCAGAAUUUCUCUUAGGGAGGGAAAUGUUGUCCUUUGGUAAAAUACCUUGAACUCUAGCCCCCAAGUCCCUCCCUUGGGGUUCACAAAUUCAGGGGUUAGGGGGAGGGGAGGAGGAUUCUCAUCUGUAUUCCUGGAGGCGGUUGGGAGAGGGAGAGUCCUUCUAUGUCCUGCCUCCCCAGGGUCCUCUCUUAGGAGACGGCCUGGAGUAGAGACAGGAAUGAAGUGAGGGCAUUCUGGAGCAAGGGCGUUCUGGCGGAUGGAUCACAGGAGCAGGACGUGCUGGGUGAAGCCGCCCGAUGCAUACAGGGAAGUAGAAGCUGGCACUAGCGUGCAACCUUCUUAGGGACAUAGGAGCCCGUUUAGGCCACCUGUGGAUCCCGUCUCCAGGAACACACACGAGCACACGUGUGCACAAGUUUUGCCCUGGAUUUCAGGAGGUUCGCAGACCUUCCGAAGCCUAGCCAUAAAGACCUGGUGGGAAGAAAACGAGUGAGGACAGGACCCCAGGUUCAGAACGGCUGCACCAAAGCACAAAGGGGGAGACGGGAAGAGGCAGGAGGUGAAGCUGGAGCCGUGGGCGGGAGACUGCUUGGAGUGGGCCUUCACGUCACGUCAGGGGCCUCGGGCUCAGCUCUACUGUGACGGGCUGUUGCCAACCUGUGUUAUAAAAAUUACAAGACGCAGCAAGACUUAGGAAGAGAUGCAGAUGAGAGAUGAUGAGGGGUAGCAAGGAUGAGAGGAAAAGAGGACAAACUGGAGAACCAUCUAAAAGAAGAGUUGUUUUCGUUUCCUAUGGCUGCUGUAACAAAUUACCACAAAUUUUGGUGGCUUACAUCAACACAGAUUUGUCCCCUCCAAGUUCUGGAGGCCAGAAGUCUGCAGUCACUUUCACUGGGCUGGCGGCAAGGUGUCAGCAGGGCCGGUUCCUUCCGGAGCCUCCAGCCGAGAAUCCACUUCCUUGCCUUUUCCAGCUUCUGAAGGUUGAUAUGCUCCUCGGCUCGUGACCCCUUCCUCAAAUCACUCCAAUCUCUUGUUUGGAUCAUCACAUCCCCUCCCUCUUCUUCUGUAGUCAAAUCUCCCUCUGUCUCCCUUUUAUAAGGAUGCUUGCGGUUACAUGCAGGGCCCACCUGGAUAAUCAGAAUAAUCUCCCCAUCUCAAAAUCCUUAAACCAGUCCCAUCUGCAAAGUUCCUUUUUGCCAUAGAAGGUAACACUCACAGGUUCCGGGGGUUAGGACCCGCAUAGCUUGGGGGGCCAUUACUCAGCCUACCACAGCUCUGUACUGACAGAACUUGGCAAUUUAUCAAUAGUGUGAGUUGAAGGGGAGGGAGGCAUCUAGGAGGGCUCCGUGGUUUCUGGCUUGGGCUGCCACCCAAUGCUGCCUCCACCAACCAACGCUGAGGGCAGAGAAGAGGGGUCCAAUCUUGGAUCCGUCCUAGACGGAUCUUGAAGUCUAGAGCUCAGGGGAACCUUCAGGAAUGGUCCAGAGAUUGGAGAGCACCGCAUAUACAUGGUGGUUAAAAACGUGAGCUGGAAGGGUGAGAGUGUGGAGUGAGAAGCAGUACAGGGAGGACAAAGCCCUGGGGGUAAGGGAGACGAGGAGGCUGGAAAGGAAACCAGAAGCAGCAGCCAGAGAGGCUGGAAGAAAAUCCAGUGACGGCCAAGUUGCCGACACCACGGGGACGUUCAAGAUGAGAGGAGCGGUUCCCGGUGUCCGAGGCAGCAGAGACGAGAAGGAAAGAUGAAAACAGAGGAGCCGCUGUUGGAUUUGGCCACGAGCAGGGCAGCAGUGCCCCCGGGGAGAACAUUAUUAGGAAAAUGGAGGAGCUGAAGCCAGACUGCAAAGGAUCAUGAAGGGAAUGAGAGAUGCGAAAUCCACUGAAAAAGAGUCAAUGAAUUUUAAAAUGAAUAAAUAACAGCUAAUGCGCAUGGAGUGCCUGCUCUCCUCUCUGCGCAUUCAUCUCAUUUCUUACUCUGCAUAAUAACCCAAUGAGAGGUUAUCAUGGCCGUCAUCAUGUCCAUUUCACAGACGAGGAAACCAGCUUCCCUUGCAUUACACUUACCCAGGAAGUGGCAUCAGCAGGAUUCAGUCUAGACUGUGUGGCUGCAGACAGAGCCACCAGGUAUUUUCACGUCAAUAUUUAAAGACGUAUCUUGCAUUUUUGAACUACUGCACCACUGGCUCACUGCACUGAACCAUAAGAAGGAAGUACCCUGCUUACUUACCUAUUCCCCUGUUGGGCUUGGUGAUUGAUCAGAUGUGGGGAACGUGGAAGUCAAGAGAAUUAAAAGUGACACCUUGUCUUCGGGCUUGGGCAAACAUGGAGACCAUGGGAGCACUGAGGGGACACUGCCUAGGCCACGUGAGGCAAGAACGUGGCCAUCUACAACCCAAGGAGAGAAUCCUCAUCAGACACCAACCCUGUCGGCACCUUGAUCUUGGACUUCGCAGCCUCCAGAACUGAAGAAGAAAAAUUUUUGCUCUGCCAGUGGUUAAAAACCUGGGCUGGAGAAUCAGACGGACCUGGAUUGAGAUCCAGGCUCUACCACUUACUGUCCAUGAUCAAGGGCAAGUUCCCUCGUCCGUCUAAGGCUCAGCUGUCUCAUCUGUAAAAGGGGAUUAGAAAUAGAACAUAUCUCUUGGAGUUGCUGGUGGGAUUAAAUGGGAAGACGAAGGUACGUACUCAGUGAGAGUGCGAUAUGACCAUUAUCACCAAGAAAAACUAGUGGGAGGUUAAAUUAUCAAACAAUAAAGUUGUUAAGAGGCUGUGAAUCUUCAUUAGGUAACCCACCAGUGGUGGUGUUUAGCCAGGCGGUAGACAUUAGGCAAGCUUAGACAACCUAAGUGGCUACUGAAUGGCUACACCACAGAGAGGUUUGACCCAGUCACUCCUACCGGUCCAGAUUAACAGAGUCCUAUGGUCCCUCCUACCCCCACCCUUUCUCUACUUGCUGGGUGACCAGGUAAAUACCUUCCCUUCUAUGGACAUCAGUUUUGGUGCCUAUCAGAGGUGAGGAUUGGACUGGAGGGUCUCUAAUGUCUAAAUCCCCGUAAUUUAAGGAUUGCGCUGAAUUCCUAAGCAAUUGUCAUGUG